UACGUAUGGAGCAAGCGUUAUCCGGAUUUACUGGGUGUAAAGGGAGCGUAGGCGGCUCUGUAAGUCUGAUGUGAAAAUUUGGGGCUCAACCCCAAACGUGCAUCGGAAACUGCAGGGCUUGAGUGCCGGAGAGGCAGGCGGAAUUCCUAGUGUAGCGGUGAAAUGCGUAGAUAUUAGGAGGAACACCAGUGGCGAAGGCGGCCUGCUGGACGGUAACUGACGCUGAGGCUCGAAAGCGUGGGGAGCAAACAGG
rnacentral:rRNA from 1 species